GACAACGUCUGGCAGUCCAUUGUCCAGCUUGGUGGCUGCAGUGAGAGUGCACGUACAGUGAACCAUGAAUGUGUUCUUUCUUCCUCCUGGCCUUCCUGUGGAGCCAGCAUUAAAGUUUACCAGUUAAACGCCCUCCUUUUGCUGCUGUCCAACCAGUGUUUUGUGGCUGCCUGUUGCCCACGCUGCUCCACUCAGAGUCUUUAACCCAGAUGCCCAGCAGUUGUCAUGCUGUAGGAACAUAAAGGUUUUUUGUGGUAAUAAAAUAUUGACUGAACACAACAUGCUGCUGUAAGCAUGAUACACUGGUGACUUACAUUAGAGGCAUAUUCAGUUAUAUAAAAUGAUAUUUAGUACAGUCAAAUGUAACCACAUACGCUUGUUAUUAUGAUGAUAUAACAAUAUGAAAUAUCAUACCACCUCAUCAAAUGCUUCAUUCAACCAUAUGCACUGCUCUAUAUGGCCAAAAAUAUACCUCAGACCAGUUGCCAGUAGAAAAUGUUGGCAUUGCGUGUUCCUGCAAACCACGAAUACAUUACAUUUGCUCGUUUCAUAUGUAUCAUAUUCACAUUUCUUAAGUGAUAUAAUAUAUGAGCUGUUGUCAUCAGGAGAUAGAGGGGAUGGUAGAUGUCAUGUCACCAAGGUGAGAAGCCUGCCAAGCUGCAGACCGCUGUACGAGACCAACAAACAACAAAACUGGUUGCAAUUUAGUAAGAUAUUGCUGUGUAUUAGGCAGCCUUUUGAGAGGGUGAGUGUUUUCUAGCGACCAGUUGCUGUUUUUCCAGCUUUUCAUUAGACUCAAAUUAGUGGCGUUAUGUAGUGACCUGUCACUGUUUUUUCAGCAACUUAUUAAACUCUAAUCAUGGGUGUUUUGUAAUGAGCCAUUUGCUGUUCUUCCACUGGCUUUUUAGGCCCCAGUUGUGGGUGUUUUGUAUAAAUCCAUCGCUGUUUUUCUAGCAACUUAGACUCUAAUCGUGGGUGUUUUGUAGCAACCUAUCACUGUUUUUUCAGUGGCUUUUUAGGCUCCAGUUGUAGGCCUUUAGUAGCGACCCAUCACAGCUUUUCUAUUGACUUAGACUCUGAUCGUGGAUGUUUUGUAGCAACCCGUUGCUGUUUUUCCAGCGGUUUAUUAGGCUCUAAUUGUGGGUGUUUUGUAGCAACCUGUCACUGUUUUUUCAGCGGCUUUUUAGGCUCCAGUUGUAGGCCUUCAGUAGCGACCCAUCACAGCUUUUCUAGUGACUUAGACUCUGAUUGUGGGUGUUUUGUAGCAACCUGUCACUGUUUUUUCAGCGGCUUUUUAGGCUCCAGUUGUAGGCCUUCAGUAGCGACCCAUCACAGCUUUUCUAGUGACUUAGACUCUGAUUGUGGAUGUUUUGUAGCAACCCGUUGCUGUUUUUCCAGCGGCUUAUUAGGCUCUAAUUGUGGGUGUUUUGUAGCAACUUGUCACUGUUUCAGCAGCUUUUUAAGCUGCUAAAAACACAUAACGUGGGUGAUUUUUGCAUAUCAACACUGUUUCCAGUGGCUCUUUAGGUACCAGUCAUGGAUGUUUUGCACUGACCUGUUGCUGUUUUUUCCAGUGAGGAUAGUGUGACAUUGCUGUGUUUCCUGCCAGCAUAGUGGCAUGAAAAGCAACUGUUUAUACUGAGACAUAACUACUUUCAAGCAGGGAUUGUGCCCUAUAAAUUGAGUAUUUUAAACCAAAACAUGAUCUUUUCCUAACCAUAACCAUAAAGUGUUUUAGUGCCUAAAUCUAACCACACGUUGUCCACAGUGUUGUACAUUGGAGUGUAAAUGUAUCCGCUAUAUAAUGCACUAAUGUAAUGUGUCUGUAGUUUGCAGAAACAUAUUUUGCCAACAUUUUUCUGGCAGCAGGGUUGCCAACCUUACAUCACAUUGUGCAAAAAUCCAACUCCAUAAUGAAAUAGUUUUCCCAGUUCCCCACCUUUGGGAUGAACUGGAACGCCAACUGCAAGCCAGGCUUUACCACCCAACAUCAGUGGCUGACCUCACUUGUGCUCUUGUGUCUGAAUAAGAGAAAAUCGCUGCAGUCAGGUUCCAACAUUUGAUGGAAAGUCCAAAAGCAGAAGAGUAGAGACUGUUAGAUUGCUCAGGGGUUUGAAAUGAAAAUGAGAUGUUCAACAAUCAGGCACUGUGUUGUAUAGGUGUAAUGUUCAGGUGUCUGCAUAUUUUUGGCCUUAUUGUUUAUCUUUUUUCAUCAAAAUAUUGUAAGAGAGAUAAAAAAAAAAUCAUGGCUGUUUAAAAGUUUAAGUACAGACUUUGAAAUACAUACUGUAAUUUUCUAAAACUCU